GCGGGCAUGGUGGAAUUGGUAGACACAAGAGACUUAAAAUCUCUCGGUCGAAAGACUGUGCCGGUUCGAUCCCGGCUGCCCGCACCA
rnacentral:tRNA from 1 species